GACAAAAUGACUUUCUAUCACUUAUUUCUACCCUAAUAUGACAGACAAUCAAAGAGUAGUUCUAACAAACCAAAAAUCAUUUUUGACACAUAAAAUCUUUUUUAACUUCUUACUCUGCCAAUGCCAUGACAGCGUACUUCAUUUCUGUCCCAAUCAGUUCUUCAAGGAGCAGCCCAAGCUAUCAGUUAACCACUUCUAAUUUAAGUAAGUUCAUCUGCUCAGUAAGAUAUCUUAAAAAGUUAUGUUAAGAGAAUGCUUUUUUUGAUAAGCACAGACACAGUUAUCAGAUGCUGUGCUACAUCAAGGCCCAGAACAACACAGCUGCCGAGUCACGAAGAUGGGGAAAGCAGGGUAGCACAACAGGACCCCUCCAGCCUUCCACGUCAGUCACUGCUCCACUGCACCAAACACCUGCUCUGUACAACUGCUGAUAAAGAGAAUUUACCUAGUUUUAUUCUAAGUAUUCCAUGAAUGACUAUUCUGUGUUCACACAGUUAAAAGCAACCUACAAACAAAAUUUUUCAGUACCAAGAAGCAUUAAGCAAAGGACAGAAGUUAGUGAAUUGAACAUGCUAAAGUGUUGUAGAAGAAUUUAGGACAUACAGUUCUCUGCCCAUUCAAUGUCCCACAGAUUUAACAUAACAGUGCCUGAGCUGAUACCCAAAUUUCCUUGCAGCUUUUAAACAUUUGAACAGUAUCAAGAUAAAAUGUAGGUUACGUAACCAAAAGGGCAUAUUAUAUUUCUUCUUUUAUUCAAAAGGCCCACUUAAUUCAUUCCCUCAGGUUAAAUUCCCUUUCCCCCUUUUUAAAGGGAAAGCCAUGUGACUUGUACUAUUAUGAUCAUAACAUUAUUUUUAUUCAGCUGAUAUACCACCAUCACAGCAAAACACUACAUGAUCACACCUGAAUUUUGCAUGACAACUCCAUAGAACAGUCAAAGUAACUAAAUAUCUCUGAGAUGCACAGAAAAGGAGCAGCUUCAAUACCAUUUGGAAAAACAAGCUACCAUGCUAUAGAUCUCUCUCCUUUUAUAGAGAAAAAAAAAAGAAAAAAAAGAAAAAAAAAGAAAAAAAAGGGAAAGACAACCCCAAAACUGCCAGACAAAUCCAUUCUACCACAUAGAAAAGGUAUCUGGCUCUGCAAACACUGGUGAAACCUAUCCAUCCCACCACUUCCAUAAAGUAGCAGGUUAAAACAUAUUAAUAAUAAAUAAUAAUAAUAAGUGGAAUUAAUACCUCAAAAUUUCUGAAACAGUACAACCCAGAGUAUUUCUGUAAUUACAACUUGACUAUGUUGCACCUCCUUGCAAAUGGAAAACAGACCAACUUCAGUCAAAAAUGACAGAUUUGUUUCCACCCAAUGUGACCUGAAAUAGCCUCUAAUGUUUUUCAGAAAUUUCAAAAGCAAUCACACAUGGCUGUUCUCAAGUAAAAAAGGGAGACACGGAUCAGUUACAGUGCUUUUGUAGGUUGCUACAACAAAACAAGCACUGCCACCUCACAGAGACCCAGCACAGUCCAAGAACACUGCUGCUCACUUGAGAGGACAUCUGUCCACUGAGGGAAAGCUCUAACUACAGGGUUCCAAAAGUUGUGUCUAUUUUAACAACUACUAUUUACUUGACAUUUCCAGGCAACAUUACAAAUAACAACUCUGUGCAACAGCUCUACAGUUGAAAUUUUGCAGCAGUAUUUGUGGCUGUCCAGGAUGCUUGAGUCUUGGAGAGCAGAGUAGAACAACUCUCCUGAUUUCAGCAAGAGGUUUGUUGCCUUCUGACCAGCAGAAUCAGAUGAAGAACCCUGAAUUAAUACUGACCUUUAAAAGAAGCUGGUAUUUUGUUAUCCUUUGGACAGGUUUGAUAAGCAGGAAAAAAAUUAAAAAACAGGAUAACCAGAUAUUCCACGCACAGUGAAUCAUCAUGCUGUGCAUCUGCCUGCUCACUUGGUACAAACAGAAGAUGAUUAUCUCUGAGAGUAUCUGUGAAACAUUUCAACAAACCUAAAUACAAAGAGCAACAAUUAGGAACAUGGAACGUGUGGCAACACCUUUUUUAAAAACAUUAAGAUCUGUACUUCUUCUGCUAAUUGCAAGAGAAGAAAAACCCUCACACUCCAGUGCUCCUGGGAAGAGGCAGCAGUACCAGGAAGGCUGAGGUGGAAGGUUCUCAGCAUCCCCUGCUAUUUCAGUGCCAACAGCCACAGACAGCCUCAUCCCCACCAGAGGGAGCACCGAGUAACAGUUUCUGACUGAAGGAAAGAGGUUCCCAAGAAAAAACAGCCACUUAAAAAUAGAAUAAAGAAUGACCUCAACGAAGUUAAAGGUGGAAAACAGAAUUACCUGAUAGCUAAAUGGGAUGAUUACAGAUUUCAGGUACUGACUGGGGCUGAACUCCGCUGACAGGGUCUGCCAUUUAUCAUAGCAUUGGAUCUACUUUAACCAAGCAAUUUCAAACAGCAAGUUCUGCCCCACAGCCGCGUGCCAUCUAGCCGUGGUUACAGUGAAUGCGAUACAUAUGAUAUUUUCACAUGGACCAGUGGUGUCAUCAGUGGAAGCACUCGAGUCCUCUGUGCACAGAAUUAAGUCGUCACACAUCUAAUAUAAUUUAGGAGGAUUAGGGGAUGGAGAGCUCUGGAUAUAGUGGUAAAAUAGAUUGAUCAAAGGAGGUGGUGGCAAGAAUUUAUUUCCAAUAGUUUUAUCAGAGCCCUGUGUUAUUUUUCAAUAUGGCAUUUACAAAAUUUUUCUUUGAAUUUUUUUUGGUCAUAUCUACCUGAUUUUCUGUAACUUACCUGCUCCUCUUCAAACACUGAAAACUUAACGGAGGCUUCACAGAAAGACUUUGCCUUACAAUGUUUAGAAACCCCAUUUCCUCAGUGAUUAGACUUUUGAGAUUAACCCCAAGGGCUUCAGGGAUUUCCUCUACUUCCCUCUACUUGUACAAACAAUUCUAAAAAAAUUGUGGUGUCAUUACACAGCUAGUGGCUCAGCUGGGGGGAAAGAAAAAAAAUGGAAAAAGAAAGCACUCUAGUCGAAUCAUCAGCUAAUACAUGUCCAACCAAAACUCAUUCACUGUGGCAAAAAUUCCUCCCUAAAACCUCUAACACAUCUACAUUUUUGUCAUCCUUUUAUGCAGAAUAUUACAUGUAUAGACCAUGGAACUGAAUAAGGAGGUUCAGCCCUUCUGAAUAACAGCAGUGAACUGAAUUACCACUACAUGCAGUUACAGUUUAAAAGUGCUCCAAAAUUUUAAGCAAGAUUUCUAUCUCUAUUACAUACAAUGCAAACUAAGCACAUCAAAAUUUGCUAAGAUGUGCAGGAAGUGCUUGUGUGAACUGAAGAUUCAUGUCUUGGUUGUUGUCUGCCAGAACCUGCUUCCAGUUCUGAACCACUCUGAUAUGUGACAGUGACUUUUCACAUCUGAUUUGACAGCUCUGUAACACCGACUGAGCAAUGGAAGUUAACCACGUGAGACACAGGAUUGAUUUCCUUAAGCUGACAGCUUAAUAAAUUGCAGCACUAUUAACAGGAACUUGCAUUUUCUUAACAAAUUAGGCACUCAGCAGAACUGCAAAUACCUGAGUCAAACAGGCAAGGCGCGCUUCUAAGA